GAUGAACGCUGGCGGCGUGCCUAAUACAUGCAAGUCGAGCGAACAGACGAGGAGCUUGCUCCUCUGACGUUAGCGGCUGACGGGUGAGUAACACGUGGAUAACCUACCUAUAAGACUGGGAUAACUUCGGGAAACAGGAGCUAAUACCGGAUCAUAUAUUGUACCGCAUGGUUCAAUAGUGAAAGACAGCUUUCCCGUCACUUUUAGAUGGAUCCGCGCCGGAUUAUCUAGUUGGUAAGGUAACGGCUUACCAAGGCGACGAUGCGUAGCCGACCUGAGAGGGUGAUCGGCCACACUGGAACUGAGACACGGUCCAGACUCCUACGGGAGGCAGCAGUAGGGAAUCUUCCGCAAUGGGCGAAAGCCUGACGGAGCAACGCCGCGUGAGUGAUGAAGGUCUUCGGAUCGUAAAACUCUGUUAUUAGGGAAGAACAAUUGUGUAAGUACCUAUGCACGUCUUGACGGUACCUAAUCAAAAAGCAACGGCUAACUACGUG
rnacentral:rRNA from 1 species